rnacentral:ribozyme from 1 species
AAGUAUGAACAAUCUGCUUGUGAACCAAAUAAAUAAGGAAGAUUCAAAGGUUGGUGCAUUUUUAAUGAAAGGUGCGGGAGGAAAGGCUUUUUGUGCAGGAGGUGACGUGAA